GUAGAUUCCACCAUAAAGCCUCCUCAGGAAGCCAGGGGCACCGGAAGAACAGGACAGACCCAUUCUCACAUAGGCUUCCUCAAAAUGGAGCAGGAGCUUCUGGGUCCUCAGCACUGAAGCUUUCUAUCUCCAAAGAGAGAGGUUCCAAAGAAAGUCACCUAAUGUCAGAAAUUAAGAAGCUUGGGAGAUGGGUAUGGGCAGCUCCUCAAAGGGGUGCUAACAGUGCAAGACCUCACAUGUACGUCUAGGCCCUGGAAGACCUGUGGGGCCAUAGAAGUUCACCCACAAGAGCCAAAAGAAACCUGCAGGCAAGGGAGGCUAUGGGGGAAGAAAGCUGGCAAGGCUGCAGUGCUUUACAAAGGGUGCCUGCUUGAGUCACUCCAUGUGAACCAAAAGUCAUCCAGUUCACCUUGUAGCCUGAGAUUAAGGUCCAGCACUAGCCUGAGGUCCCCACUGCACAGUCUACAGCCCUGAGGGCAGGCUUAUCUGGGCUGGGAAUCACUGGCAAAGAGAGAUGACCACAAGUGAGAGGUGGAGUCCUUGUGGGACUCAGGAUCCUGAUGAUAAGAAUGGUGACAAGUAUGUACAGCUCCUGCCCUGGAGGAUCCAGGUAGAGACUUAGGGAGCUAUUACUCUGGCCUGUGUGUUCCCACUAGGUAAAUGUCUCAUUUGCUGCCCUCGAAGUGCCGGCAUUGUGGAGUGGAUGUGCUUGCAGUGGGCUCAGACUCUUUCCUUCCCACACCUGGGAAGUGUCCAGCUUCUUGCUGCAGCCUGGUCUGAGGCCUGAUGCUUUUCUGUGUCCAGCUGGUGUAGAGUCCUGGUCUGGCCACCAGCACCCAUUUGAGCUCUGAGCCUGUCUGUGCUCUUGGCUAGCUGCCAGAGGGCUCCGCAUCUCAGGUGAAGAAAAGGCACUGUGGAUUUGGGCCGCUGAGGCACUCUGUAACAGGUGCAGGGUCCAGGUAGGCUGCAUAUUUCAGGGAUGUGCCGCCUUGAGGCUAGGAAAGCAUCUUCAGCCGGAAUCUCCGUAGCCUUUAUGGUUGAGCACCUGGUGCUGAUGUCCACCAGCCACUGAGGCUGUGGACCUUGUGUCUGGUCUCCUUAAAGAAGACACAGAGGCCUGUCCUCAGUGGGGCUUGUUUGGCCCAGGCCUAUUCUGGACAAGAAGGAGAGGUACCUGAGGGCCCAAGCUGAGAGUGACCAAAGGGGCCACAGGGCCGGCUGAGUUCUGAGGCUGGUUGGAAGGAGCCCAGAGGAGUGACUGCCCACAGCCUGAACACAGCAGCCUGAGUUUCCAUAAAGGAAUGGCUGGGGGCCUGAGAUCACCAGAACCUCUACCAUCAAGAACAAGGCAGGUCAACCCCAACAGGUCAGGUCCACUGAAUCUGAAUGGUUCAGCUUCCCCCAGCCCAGUGAUCAUCCCUGAAUAAGGAACUCUUGUUUUUGAUGGCCUUGCCCUACACUGAACAGCUACUUCCCUUGCCACAGUACCUGGGUUCACACCCCUUGAGAUCUGGCAGCCAACCUGUUCAGCAGAUAAGUUUUUCUAGAAAACACUUGGGAGUGUUUUGAAAAUGGUUGAAAAUGGGGUAAGAGUAUGUAAACAGGGGGCUCAAGACCACUGAACUCUAGUCCUGGAAUACAGGCUCUUCUUUUGCCUGUGUGAAUCAUUCCUCAGGCCAAACCCUGCUACGGAGGCCUAAGAGCCAGGUUAGAGUCAGGGAGAGCUUCUGGAGCCUGGGCCCACCCUAGGUUUUGUCAGAUGUGAGUCUGGGUUACCAGACAUGUUGGAGGAAGAGGGAUGGACAGACAGAAAGUAGGUAGAAUUUGGGAAAGGUAAAGAGAAGGAAGAG